rnacentral:rRNA from 1 species
UGGGGAAUUUUGGACAAUGGGGGAAACCCUGAUCCAGCCAUCCCGCGUGUGCGAUGAAGGCCUUCGGGUUGUAAAGCACUUGUGGCAGGAAAGAAACGUCAUGGGUUAAUACCCCGUGAAACUGACGGUACCUGCAGAAUAAGCACCGGCUAACUACGUGCCAGCAGCCGCGGUAAUACGUAGGGUGCAAGCGUUAAUCGGGAUUACUGGGCGUAAAGCGUGCGCAGGCGGUUCGGAAAGAAAGAUGUGAAAUGCCAGAGCUCAACUUUGGAACUGCAUUUUUAACUGCCGGGCUAGAGUGUGUCAGAGGGAGGUGGAAUUCCGCGUGUAGCAGUGAAAUGCGUAGAUAUGCGGAGGAACACCGAUGGCGAAGGCAGCCUCCUGGGAUAACACUGACGCUCAUGCACGAAAGCGUGGGGAGCAAACAGG